rnacentral:rRNA from 1 species
GUGGGGGAUAUUGCACAAUGGGGGAAACCCUGAUGCAGCGACGCCGCGUGGAGGAAGAAGGUUUUCGGAUUGUAAACUCCUGUCGUUAGGGACGAUAAUGACGGUACCUAACAAGAAAGCACCGGCUAACUACGUGCCAGCAGCCGCGGUAAAACGUAGGGUGCAAGCGUUGUCCGGAAUUACUGGGUGUAAAGGGAGCGCAGGCGGACCGGCAAGUUGGAAGUGAAAACUAUGGGCUCAACCCAUAAAUUGCUUUCAAAACUGCUGGCCUUGAGUAGUGCAGAGGUAGGUGGAAUUCCCGGUGUAGCGGUGGAAUGCGUAGAUAUCGGGAGGAACACCAGUGGCGAAGGCGACCUACUGGGCACCAACUGACGCUGAGGCUCGAAAGCAUGGGUAGCAAACAGGAUUAGAUACCCGUGUAGUCC